GGCUGCGGCGCUGACGGAAGUGACGAACGCCGUGGGGGGCGAGGUGGGCGCGAGCUCCCGGAUGCUGUGGGGUAGCGCCGGUGCUGGGAGAUGUGCACUGACCCACAGAAUGAAACAAUAGCGCUCAAAUAGCGAAAUAAUAAAUAAUAACCCAGCUCGUCCGCCCGAGGCGUGGCCCCCGCCCCCACCUGGUCGCUGUAAAACACUGUGUGAACAAGAGUUGGUUUUAUUUCUUUUUUUUUAAUUUUUUUUUCCCCGGCCGCGCAGGAUGAGCGCCGUGCCUGAGGAAGUUAAGGCAGAAGAUGGCAAAGCGGAGCCCGAGAAGAAGCUCUUUUACUGCGAUGUUUGUAAAAUUUACUGUAUGUGCGCCAUAAGUCUUCAGUCACACUACCGUGGUGCGAAGCAUAGGAGGCAAGAGAAAGCCAUGAGACGCAGGAAUCUCUAUUCCUGUUCUCCGAAGAAGCAAGGCUUACAUUCCGCCUUUAUCAUCUGUUCCCCAAUGUCUUUUGAACCUCUCAGCCUUUUUGAACCAAGGUGAUCAGAGGUGCCUGAAGACACACAUCUGCACAGGGAAGAGUGACAGUGUCAGUCCUGUACUGAGGGAAGUGCUGCAGGCUGAGCUCACCAUUUGCUGCACCCUGAAGAAUCAACGAGCAAGAAAGAUCUGGGAAAAUGCUGGUCAGAGCCCUUUCCUAAGAGACUGAGCUUCAUUAGCUGCUCUCAGGGUUUUGUGCUGGUGGGGGAGUUAGUGCAAGACAUGUCAUUCAAGUGUGAGAACAGUCAUGAGAUUUUGCCUCAGUCACCUGUGACUGCUGUAUGGUAACGGAGCUCCCUGACAGAAUUUGAGGAGUUGUGGAAACUUCCAAGUCUUCUCAAAGUCCAGUGGAUUCAAGUGCUACAAAAUUGUAUUUACACCUCAAUAACAAGAACAGAUUUGUGUGGCUCUGGUCAAGGGCUUUUAGUGGAAGACACUUUCUACAGAUUUGUUUGAGUUUUGUGUGAGAAAUGAUCAUUAAAAGUAAUACUCAUUAAGUGAAGAGAUUCUUUCUUCAAGAUCAUAAAAUCUGGUUUUAGAGGAGUAAUGUAUGGGAUGCAUGUGGCAGAAAGUGACUUGAAUAAGAGGACAGAAGUUGUGGCAGCAAGGCUGUGGAAAGAGUGGUAACAGCAGGAACCUGUUGCAAAUACCUAUGGCUUUAGAAAACAGAGCUGUAUGUACUACAGUCUCUGUGUUCCAUGGAGAAUUAAGAAUUAAUCCAAAGGUUAAGAAUGUGUGCAUGCUACAAGUACUGUAUCUUUGGAAAUGUCAUGACUUGGAAUCUUUCAACUGGGAUGUGUCCUGCAGAACAAGAAGUCAAAAUAUCUGAUUAAUCAAGUGAAGAAUUUAGAAGCUUUGGUAAGCAAGUUAGCUGUGUCCUCUGGAGGAGUCUCAACAUCACAGGGUACCACAUGUCAGAAGCAUUGCAAGAUACGUUUUUAUCCAGAAAGUUCUCUGCCUCAGGAAUAAUUUUGAAGCUAUCAGAAACUUACUUCUAAUAAAAAAUUAUUAUUAAUACUAUUGAUGUCUCCU
ensembl:lncRNA